rnacentral:rRNA from 1 species
CCUACGGGGGGCAGCAGUGGGGAAUAUUGGACAAUGGGGGCAACCCUGAUCCAGCCAUGCCGCGUGUGUGAAGAAGGCCCUCGGGUUGUAAAGCACUUUCAGUGAGGAAGAACGCCUGGUGGUUAAUACCCAUCAGGAAAGACAUCACUCACAGAAGAAGCACCGGCUAACUCCGUGCCAGCAGCCGCGGUAAUACGGAGGGUGCGAGCGUUAAUCGGAAUUACUGGGCGUAAAGCGCGCGUAGGUGGCUUGAUAAGCCGGUUGUGAAAGCCCCGGGCUCAACCUGGGAACGGCAUCCGGAACUGUCAAGCUAGAGUGCAGGAGAGGAAGGUAGAGUUCCCGGUGUAGCGGUGAAAUGCGUAGAGGUCGGGAGGAAUACCAGUGGCGAAGGCGGCCUUCUGGACUGACACUGACACUGAGGUGCGAAAGCGUGGGUAGCAAACAGGAUUAGAUACCCUAGUAGUC